rnacentral:lncRNA from 1 species
CUGCAUCUUCUCUCUACCCUACGUCUCCACCGCGGCCGCAACUCAGAUACAUCAGUUCCUCGACGAGAGAGGAUCGUCUUCUCCCUCUACUUCUGUCUCCCCUCUCUCUCUCUCUCUCUCUCUCUCUCUCUCUACUCUCUUCUGCCGAUUCCUCCCCAUGAGCCAGUUCUCUCAUCUCCCCCCCUCGGGGGACGACCACGAUCGGCAAGUCUAUCUCCACCCCUUCUUGCCCACAUACGAUACUUCUUCUCCCCUCCCUUGCGCCAUCUUCUUCCGCCCCUGCGAGGAAGGAUCAAGUGAGAUCGAUCAUCAACGAAGUCCCCCCCCACAGC